rnacentral:rRNA from 1 species
GCGCACGGGUGCAUAACGCGUAUGCAACCUACCUUCUACAAGAGGAUAGCCCAGAGAAAUUUGGAUUAAUACUCUAUACGAUCAUUAAUUGGCAUCAAUUUAUGAAGAAAACUCCGGUGGUAGAAGAUGGGCAUGCGUCCUAUUAGUUAGUUGGUAAGGUAAUGGCUUACCAAGACUUCGAUAGGUAGGGGUCCUGAGAGGGAGAUCCCCCACACUGGUACUGAGACACGGACCAGACUCCUACGGGAGGCAGCAGUGAGGAAUAUUGGACAAUGGAGGCAACUCUGAUCCAGCCAUGCCGCGUGCAGGAAGACGGCCCUACGGGUUGUAAACUGCUUUUAUACAGGAAGAAUUAUGCCUACGUGUAGGUAUUUGACGGU